CCUACGGGUGGCAGCAGUGAGGAAUAUUUGUCAAUGGCCGUAAGGCUGAACCAGCCAAGUAGCGUUAGGGAAGACUGCCCUAUGGGUUGUAAACCUCUUUUAUGCGGGGAUAAAGGUGUCCACGUGUGGAUGUUUGCAGGUACCGCAUGAAUAAGGACCGGCUAACUCCGUGCCAGCAGCCGCGGUAAUACGGAGGAUCCGAGCGUUAUCAGGAUUUAUUGGGUUUAAAGGGAGCGUAGAAGGGUUGUUAAGUCAGUUGUGAAAGUUUGCGGCUCAACCGGAAAAUUGCAAUUGAUACUGGCAGUCUUGAGUACAGUUGAGGUAGGGGGAAGUCGUGGUGUAGCGGUGAAAUGCAUAGAUAGCACGAAGAACCCCGAUUGCGAAGGCAGCUUACUAAACUGUGACUGACAUUGAUGCUCGAAAGUGUGGGUAUCAAACAGGAUUAGAUACCCGAGUAGUC
rnacentral:rRNA from 1 species